rnacentral:rRNA from 1 species
AGACUCCUACGGGAGGCAGCAGUGGGGAAUUUUCCGCAAUGGGCGAAAGCCUGACGGAGUCAACGCCGCGUGAGGGAGGAAGGUCUUUGGAUUGUAAACCUCUUUUCUCAAGGAAGAAGUUCUGACGGUACUUGAGGAAUCAGCCUCGGCUAACUCCGUGCCAGCAGCCGCGGUAAUACGGGGGAGGCAAGCGUUAUCACGGAAUUAUUGGGCGUAAAGCGUCCCGCAGGUGGUCAGCCAAGUCUGCCGUCAAAUCAGGUUGCUUAACGACCAAAGGCGGUGGAAACUGGCGAGAACUAGAGAGCAGUACGGGGAUAGCAGGAAUUCCCAGUGUUAGCGUGAAAUGCGUAGAGAUUGGGAAGAACAUCGGUGGCGAGAAGCGUGCUACUGGGCUGUAUC